GGGAGCUUACAGCAGGGGGUGGGGGGGAAGGGGAGCCCUCAGUAAAAUUUGCUGACCUGGGGGUUCUUGGUGAAUUGUUGUGAAUUCAGAGUGAUCAUCUCUUAUCAAAAAGGGCAUUCCCUGGUAAACUUUGCAGUUGGUCCCCUGCCAUGAGGGUGGAUACCCCAUCCUCCCCCACCUCCUCCGCUACUGCAUAUAGUCAUGGGUGUGGUCCUCACAUUGAUGAGCAAUCCACUAAAGGAGCUCUAAAAUGAAAGAUGUACAUAGGAGCUACGGGUGUAAUUGCAAACGUAAGCCAGCUGAGUCUGGCCUGGACAGCUGGCUGAUUGGCCGGAACAGAAAUGCAGGCUUCACAAGGACUAUUCAGCUCCUCUUUUACUCUCCUACAUGCCUUUAUUUGUAUCAAGUAGAAAAAGACAAUAUAGUCGGUAAUAUAAAGACUAACUCUUAAGACCACUUAAGUUAUAUAUAUAUAUAUAUAUAUAACCACUAUUGUAGAUUUCCAUCAUUCAUUUUAAAUAAAUGAAAUUAUCUUACGUCAUGAUUUGUUCCUUGAGUGAUUCCCCGCUCAUGAAUAUGACGAUCUCUCUUUCAUCACCUUCUGGUGUAAUGAGAUACUGACAUCCAAAACAGUCCAUCCAUCUAUCAUCCAGCUAUUCUCUAUAGCUGUUUGUCCUAUGCAAAGUAACAGGGGUCCAGAACCUAUCCCAGAAGCUACAAGCCCAAGGAGGGCACCCAGCAUGGGGUGCCACCCUAUGGCAGGGCACACUCACACACCAUGCACAUACACAUUCACACACUCACACACCAUGCACAUACACACUCACACACUCACACACCAUGCACAUACACAUUCACACACUCACACACCAUGCACAUGCACACUCACACACCAUGCACAUACACAUUCACACACUCACACACCAUGCACAUACACAUUCACACACUCACACACCAUGCACAUACACACUCACACACUCACACACCAUGCACAUACACACUCACACACCAUGCACAUACUCACUCACACACCAUACACAUACACAUUCACACACUCACACACCAUGCACAUACACAUUCACACACCAUGCACAUACACACUCACACACCAUGCACAUACACAUUCACACACUCACACACCAUGCACAUACACAUUCACACACUCACACACCAUGCACAUACAUAUUCACACCUACUGAUUUGGGGAGAAACCGGAGAACCUGGAGCAAACCUUACGACAACCCCCUGAAAGAGUCUGUAUGUCUAAUACAAUUUCAUAAUACAGUUUUUACCCAUUGCUUGAACACUAUAGACACAUGCUUAAACCAAAGUAACAUAACUUGAAGUUGUUGUUACUAUACCUUAAACAAAGUGUAACCAUACCUUAAACAAAAGUGCUGCUUAGCACUUUAGUUGCAAUUCUGCAACACACUUACUCCUUUCUACAACACACUUAUUCCUGCACACUACACACUGUGUCAUACAUAAGACACUUCAUUCAAAAAUGAAAUCUCAGGGUACCAGUGGGAAAAAUAAUCUCAUUUUGAACAUCUAUUCAAAAUACAAAACACAUUGGGCAAUUGAAAAUACUUAGACACACACCUGAAAAUACUUACUUACAAAAUGGAACACCAAUCAGCCAGCUACAAAAACACCUCACUUAAGCCAUUUUGAGAAGUUUGCAAGCAUGGAAGCAGGGAGAGCUAGUGGCAGAGGUAGAGGAAGACAGACAGACAGACAGACAGACAGACAGACAGACAGACAGACAGACAGACAGACAGGCAGGCAGGCAGGCAGAGAGAGAGAGAGAGAGAGAGAGAGAGAGAGAGAGAGGAGGAAGUGGUCGAAGAGGCUAUGCAAGGACCAUUAUUUCUGAUGACAUAAGAGCAACUUUGGUGGACCAUGUCAUAAACCAUGGCCUGGCUGUGAGGGAAGCUGGGCAGAGAGUCCACCCUAAUCUAAGCCGUUUCACAGUUUCAUCCAUAAUAAGGACAUUCCGACUGGAAAACAGGUAUGUCUUCAACUCUCUACUCUACUCAGACUGUAUCUAGAGUAUUUACAAUACUGUACCAUAUCACAUUGCCGUAUCACAUGUACUGUAUUUCAGGGUGACUAAUGCUCCUUUUUGAACAAAAGUAGUAGUUUUGUGAAACAUACGAUGAUAAUGUGUUGAAAUGUUUCAGCACUAUGUAUGGUAUACACAGUAAAGUACAGUAUAUACAGUACUGUAAAAAAGAAGCAAACCAAUAACAAUUUCUGGUUGCAUUUUUCUACAGAAUGGCUAGAAGACCUACUGGGGGUGGAUGGCAGCACCUGUUCACACAACAGCAGGAACUUGUCAUUGUGAACCUAGUGAGAGCAAACAAUGCAAUCCGUCUCCACCAGCUACAGCAACAAAUACUUCAAGAUAGGCAGGUAUUCAACAACAUAAAUCGAGUAAGCAUUACCACUAUCAGACGCAUCCUGGUAAAGCACAACAUGACCAUGAAGCAACUGUACAGGGUCCCAUUUGAGAUGAACAGUGUCAGGGUCAAAGGACUUCGACAUGAAUAUGUACAGAGAAUCUUGGACAUGGAUGGAGCUGCUCAGCCUCAUGAAUAUAUUUACGUUGACGAGGCUGGAUUCAACCUUAGCAAAAGUACACGACGGGGACGUAAUAUACUUGGCCAAAGGGCGAUUGUGCACGUCCCGGGGCAGCGCGGGGGAAAUAUCACAUUGUGUGUCGCCAUAAGCCUCCGAGGGCUACUGCACCAUCAUUCCAAACUGGGUCCAUAUAAUGCGCAACACAUAAUCAUAUUUCUAGAUGCACUUCAUGAUGCAGCUGUACAGGACAGACCAGAGCAGCUCAGGUUUGUUGUUGUCUGGGAUAAUGUCAGUUUCCAUUAGGCUGCUAUCGUCCGGAACUGGUUCACCAACCAUGAUCAAUUUGAAGUUGUGUAUUUGCCCCCUUACUCACCAUUUCUCAACCCUAUAGAAGAGUUUUUUUCUGCUUGGAGAUGGCGCGUAUAUGACCGCCAAUCACAUGCCCGCACGCCUCUUCUGCAGGCAAUGGAACAGGCCUGCGGAGACAUUGAGGUAAGGUCAAUCCAUGAAUGGAUUUGGCACACAAGGGGAUAUUUCCCCGAUGCUUAGCAAGAGAAGACAUUGCUUGUGAUGUUGAUGACAUCCUGUGGCCAGACCCCAACAGACGGCAGGAUCCAUAAGUCCACUUAUGCACAAUUGUGUUUUUCUGUGUUUACAGUAGUGUAUUUGUUUUAUUGUUGCUUUAACUGAAUUUACUGUAAAGUACACGACUGUAAUGUACAGUAUUUAGUAUUUCAUUUUUUGGGUGUUGUGAAAACGUGCCUUCUGUGGAACUGAAUAAAAACAGUGCAAACAAAA